rnacentral:lncRNA from 1 species
CGACGGCCGCGUGCCCGGAGCGCCGGGGUCUUUCCUGGGCUCCAAAGUCAAGAGCUCACGUUCCGGGAGGAUCUGUCCGCGGAAAUUCGGUUCUGAGCGUCGCCGGACUCCGCCGCGGGGAGAUUGAGGUUCAGAGAAGUCAGAAGCCUUCCCAAGGCUGCACAGCCAGAAGUGGGCACAGCGUCCUGGGGUGAGGGCUCACACCAUCUGCGCCACCUGCCCUCCAGGUCCCACCAUCCUCACAAAUUCAAGGCAAGGUUCUGGAACCCCCAGCCCUCCAGAAAGGGGAAGCUGAGCCCAGGAAGCACAUCUGAGAGUUCGGGUCCGUGAGUUUACCCUGCGCUCACGCCGAUUCCUCCUGCAUCCUCUGUCGGGAUGUCUGGAUUCCAGAGUCCCCACCCUGAUUUUCCAACCUUGCCUCAGCCUUGGCUUCUCCCUUUUGGGGUGGGACAGGGAACCCCAGCAGCAGGUGUAUGAGGGCAUGAGAGGGCAGGAGGUGCCCUAUGCCUACCCGCCAGACCAGGGCCCCAGCCCUGGACACAGGGAGAGAGCAUGAGCGCUGUUCCUGCUCCCACUCCCUCAUCUGAGCAGGUGCUCCCAGGUACAGGUGCCGAGUCCCACCCAGAGGGGCCCUGCCACAACCAGAGGACUGACAAACCCAGACACAACUGUCUCUUCCCCCUGGUCAGGGUCUGGGCAAGGGUCCCUCUGGGCUGCUGUCCAUGCUGUGAGUGUCCGUGCUGUGGGCCACUGCCGUGGGUGUCCGUGCUGUGGCCUGCUGUCGUGGGUGUCCGUGCUGUGGCCCGGUAUGUGAGGUUGUGUUUCCAACAGGGAGUAAUUUGGCUUUGGUUACCUGAGGGUCUGAGGACAGGCACUAAAGCCCCACCUUUCUGGCUUCCAGAGUUGCCGGCUCCAGCAGCAGCCUCCAGGCCUGAGCAGGCUCUGGGGCUCCCACACCUGGGGGGCCAGGGUGGGGGUGACAAAGGGCCCCAGGCGACGGCUGAGAGCCGGCCCUGAGCCGGCCAGGGCGGGCAGCAGAACAGCCACCAGCUCCCGCCAGGCCCUGGCAGCAUGAGCGAUGGCAGGCCCAGCGAUAAGAAACUAAUAAUUUAUGCUUCCAGCUCCCGGGGCCGGCGCCGAGGGAAGGUUGGGCCACAGCCUCCCCCGCACUGAGCGGCUGCAGUCCUUUAUUGCACAAAUUAUUAACGACCAGAGAAUGAAUGACUCUGUAAUCAGAUCAGGUUGCCAGCACUUUUCAUUGCAUUUAUUUGUAUAAAUUCUGAAGUCGGGGUCUGCCCUAAGCUCAGCAAGCCAGCGUCGUGCUGGCUGGGCGCCCAGGCCCCCACCCAGAAGGAACACCCGUCCCUCACCCUGCCCACGGGUUCCAGAGGACAGAGGGCUCAGGAAGGGGUGCAGGGAACUGCUCUGAGCCAGAAGCCGAGUUCAUAGGCACCCAAAGCAGCCCUGGGCCAGGGUCAGAGCUCUGUCCUUGAACCUGCCUCAGGGAAGAUUCCCAACUGUCCUCAGAGCCAGGGGCACCCAGGGCUUGGGAGCUGAAGGGGGGUGGGUCUGAGACCAGGAGAAGGCUCCCCAGCCCUGAGGGAACCCUCAUCACCCCCCUGCUCUCCUCGAUCCAGGAACCGUCCCAGGGUUGCCCCAGGCCUCCUGGCUCUCCCGCCUCCAUCCCGUGGGCUUCCCGGGAGCCCCAGGCUGGUCUCCCACCUGCCCCCUCCUUUUCUGGUCUUGCCUGGGCUGGGCCCAGGGGCUCUGGCUGUGGGUUUUCUGUGCAGCACCUCGCAGUGAGCCUGACGCUGGUCCUCUCCUGAGCCCCCGUUUAAUCUUAUUGACCUCUCGUUACGCUACAGAGCGUAAAUUCAGAUUUAGAGAUCUUAUGUUCCAUCAUAAAUUGGGCUGGCAGACUUCCGAUCAACAAGAUAAAGCUGUCUUCCGUGAGGCUGGUGUUUUAUUAGUCUUGGUCCCAGUGCUGCAGGUGUGGGCUGGGGAGUGCCUGAGGGAGGGGCCUCUGCUUGGGACCCUUCCUGCCUGGGCGAGGGGCUGAGUCCCUCCUGCCGCCCGGGCUGGGCCCCAGGUACCUGGCGAACAAAGGGACCCUGAAAUUGCCGCCUUUCCCCUGCCUCUUGGGCUCUGCAUAUGAUUUCAGCCAAUCCCUGCUGCCCAGCCUCGCCCACCCGCUUCUGGGGCCACCCCCGCGUUAAGCAGGGCUGUGCAGCAUGGGGGUCCUGUUCUCAUUCAGCCACCGGCACGGCCACCCCAGUGUGAUUCCUCAGCAGCCACACAGAAGACAGAUGGUCCAUAGGAGACUCAGAAACAGAGAAGCCUCACGCCAGGUCCACAGAGGCACCCACGCCCGCCAAAAGGAUGCCACGCACUCACCCUGCCCUCUGGGGAGCACAGUGGGAGUCCAGGACACCGCCUUGGAUGGGGUGAGGCUCCGUCUGUGACCUCAGAAAGUCAGUCUGGGGCUGGACUUGACAUGGGAAACAGAAUAAAACUGCCUGUCCACCU